UACGUAGGGCGCAAGCGUUAUCCGGAAUUAUUGGGCGUAAAGAGCUCGUAGGCGGUUUGUCGCGUCUGCCGUGAAAGUCCGGGGCUCAACUCCGGAUCUGCGGUGGGUACGGGCAGACUAGAGUGAUGUAGGGGGAGACUGGAAUUCCAGGUGUAGCGGUGAAAUGCGCAGAUAUCAGGAGGAACACCGGUGGCGAAGGCGGAUCUCUGGGCCAUUACUGACGCUGAGGAGCGAAAGCGUGGGGAGCAAACAGG
rnacentral:rRNA from 1 species